rnacentral:rRNA from 1 species
AGCAGUAGCCGCGGUAAUACAGAGGAUGCAAGCGUUAUCCGGAAUGAUUGGGCGUAAAGCGUCUGUAGGUGGCUUUUCAAGUCCGCCGUCAAAUCCCAGGGCUCAACCCUGGACAGGCGGUGGAAGCUACCAAGCUGGAGUACGGUAGGGGCAGAGGGAAUUUCCAGUGGAGCGGUGAAAUGCGUUGAGAUCGAAAAGAACACCAACAGCGAAAGCACUCUGCUGGGCCGACACUGACACUGAGAGACGAAAGCUAGGGGAGCAAAUGGGAUUAGAGACCCCAGUAGUCCCUGUCUCUUAUAC